ACUUGAACCAAAUUGAUUUGGAUAAGAUUUAUUGAUCAGAUUGUUUUAGAAAACCAACAGCAAAACACUGACAAGGUACAUAAAUACAGAUUGGACAUUUUAGGGUAAAUUCACUGUAUUUCCUACUUGCUUGUAGGAAACCGAGUAAAGUGGAAAAGCUGUCCUGAUCAUAUGGCAUGCACACCAGACUGCAAAAGGACGUCCACACUAUUUAACAGGACUGUGGCAAAAUAGCUUUAAAGUAAGGCGAGCAUUGUGUAUGGCCCAAGCAUACCCUGUAGGAAGAGCAAAGCUAGGCUCACCUCUCAGAGACUGUGUCUCAGAAAGAGGCUUCCUUUCUUGCCUAGGUUCUUCCAUGAAAUUCGUCAUUGGCAGGUGCUUUUCCAGGGAGAUGCCUGUGCUCUCCCUGGAAAGGCCAUUGCUGGGCAGGAUCUGGUGGCAACGCACACGGAAGUCCUAGAACUCUAUGAAGCCUACCUCAGGCCCUGCGGGUGCGUCUGGAGUUCCAAGGCAUUUGGGGAACCAAAGCAAUUUCAGCUAACAGUGACCAGUUUUUAGAAUGGAGCUUAUGAUCAGAGGACCAUAAACCCUCAUCCACCCUAGAGCUCAAUGCCAGAAAAAUAAAAAAUAAUACAAAAAAUAAAGGAAAAUAGCUUUUUGUGCUAUAUCAGAAUGCUGGCAGGUAGACAAUUCAGUAACCUGUGCCACUUUCUAAACAUCUGUAAGACCACAAAAAAAAAAUGGGUUUUACAGAAUACGAAGACCAACACAGUCUUAGAGGAUCAUUCAACCUUUCCUACAUGCCAAGCUGUGUGAUUGGAAAAUAGAAGAGCCAUAGCUCUUGCAAGAUUAGAGGAAAAGCAAGUAUUUGUCAAGAGCCAAAGAAAUGUGUUCAAAUAAUGGAGUUUCCUCUGUGUCGCACACAGCUUUUCCUUCCCGUAGGUACUAAGAGUUCUUUGGUGGUUAGAGAGAUGGCCUGGAGCUCAGGGCAGGAGAUGACGCUGAAGAGCUACAUCUACUCAGGAUUACCACCUGUGGUUCCUAAUUUCAGCAUUCAACUCUAAUUGUUCAGCCUGACUAAUUACAGGCAAUCAGCUGCUUAUAUGGUCACUGGUUGUCAGCUCCUACUGAUUAUUCCUUUUCCUUUUCUACCUACUCAUUAACCCCAUUCCAUGGAAAAACAGGUGCUUACAGGAAAGGAUAGGGAGGAAAAAGAAAUGUAAAUGAAUCUAUUGUUUGGUAGGAAAGUUGAUUCACUGAUUAUCUAUGGAUUUCAAUGAUCUGUGCUUUACUCUUGCUACUGUGGAUAACCAAAGGUCACUGUUAACGUAUCUUUUGCUUAAAAAUGUUAAUAUGCUUAUUAUGCUUUAAAAUCUAGCUAUUUAAGGGCAUGAAUGGUUUAAAGCAAAUUUUUACAUCAUGUCAUUAUGGCCCUGAAAAAAGGAGAUUCUGCCAAUGGAAAGGGUUUUGUUUAGCCCCAGUUAAGAUUUCAACCUAUUCUGUGUCAGUUUAUAGUUUUUCCAGGAUGUGGAAAAUAUUAAAUGAAGAAAGCAUCAUUUUCUUCAUUUAAUAAAGUAUUACAUUCCCAGAUAAAUUAGUAUAUACAUAGGAGAAUGGUUAGUGUUAAAUACUAGGUUUUAAUUCUCCGUUUAGGAAACUCCUUACAGAUGGACUUCCUUGUUCUCCGGCAAC
rnacentral:lncRNA from 1 species